GCCGGCGACCGGCGCAAGGGUGCGUAACGCGUGAGCAACAUGCCCGUAUCAGGGGGGAUAAGUCCAUGGGAAACGUGGUCUAAUACCCCAUAGUAAUUAUGUAAGGCAUCGUUAUAUAAUUUAAAGCUUUGGUGGAUACGGAUUGGCUCGCGUGACAUUAGCUGGAUGGUAAGGUAACGGCUUACCAUGGCUACGAUGUCUAGGGGUUCUGAGAGGAAGGUCCCCCACACUGGAACUGAGACACGGUCCAGACUCCUACGGGAGGCAGCAGUGAGGAAUAUUGGACAAUGGAUGGAAAUCUGAUCCAGCCAUGCCGCGUGCAAGGAAGACGGCCUAUGGGUUGUAAACUGCUUUUGUAUGGGAGCAAUAAGGGCUACGUGUAGUCCGAUGAGAGUACCAUACGAAUAAGCACCGGCUAACUCCGUGCCAGCCGCAGC
rnacentral:rRNA from 1 species